GGGGAUGUAGUUCAGAUGGUAGAAUGCUUGCUUAGCAUGCAAGAGGUACGGGGAUUAAUACCCGGCAUCUCCA
rnacentral:tRNA from 1 species